ensembl:antisense 1700061E18Rik RIKEN cDNA 1700061E18 gene
AACACUGGACUUAGUGAGGGAACAUUCAAACCACAGCACCAGUGCAACAGUGAUUUCAACAGAGUUGGUGAGAUUCGGGCAGGGAUGGCAAAACAAGGCCCUUUGCACACAUGCGCGAUCUUUAAGUCAUGGAUUGGGAGACCUGAUGGAAAGGAAGAGUUGGAAGUUGGAAAAGCCAGGUCACAAAGCAUAAAGAACUGAGAAUCCAUGCAGGCGUGGGAAGCCUCUGGCAUUUUUACUAGACCAUCCACGAGGCUACUGGAGAAGUCCAGGAUCUGCUGUUUCGAGUGUCUGCCUCAGCGAAGUCAUGCUUCCUUUUGGGGUAUUAUACUCGGUUGCCGGUUGCCAUGGAAGUGAGGGCUGGCUGAUUCACACAGGAGGGGGGUGGGGCCCACUAGCAAGCCCUCAAGCACACUGGAUGAUUUCAAUUACCUAAAUCCCUGCAGCUUCUCAGAAGACAUCUACGUGGUUUUUAUGACGUAUGAAUACCUUUGACUUUGAUUUAGAAAUCGAGACGCAUUUUUAAAAAUCUGUGACCUGUAUGAGAACAGUCUAUUGAUAAAGCACCAAGAAUAAAUGGAACUUUGAA